rnacentral:lncRNA from 10 species
CUUCCCAAGAGUGUCCCAUGGAACCUGAGUUCUAAGGACGGUACAUGAAAAAAAUCAACAUGGGUUCCAUGAUCAAAGAAGUUUGGGAAAUGGGCUAAAUGAAAGGACUUCCAAGGCCUUUUAUCUGCUAAUGAGAAAGGUGGUUUCCAAAAGGAAAAGCUUUGGGAGAUAGAAGUCCUCGUUUUGACCUCUGCCCUCCUUGUACACCAGGAGCCAGAAAAACUUCAUCUCUUUUACAAGAAACAUUGAGAUUCCUGUAAAAUUAAGAAAUCACACAAUUUGAUGGUCUACAUUAUCUAAAGCAAAUGAG